rnacentral:misc_RNA from 1 species
ACACCCUCAAGCUCUGCUUGGUGUUGGGCGUCUGUCCCGCCUCCGCGCGCGGACUCGCCCCAAAUCCAUUGGCAGCGGUCCUUGCCCCCUCUCGCGCAGCACAUUGCGCUCCUCGAGGGCGGCUCCGGGCCUGCGACCCACGAAGAUGACCCGUC